rnacentral:lncRNA from 1 species
GCGGGGUGAGCGCGCCGCCGUCACCGCGCUCCGCUGAAUCCGCGUUUCCGGGAUUUCUCUGUAGGUGAGGCGGGAGGCUGGAGGGAGCUGAGCCCCCGGGGAGGGGGCCCGAUUCCGCCUCGCCGCGCCUCUGGCUGCUGGGCCGUGGGUUUUUCUCUUCUCCUGGGAGUAAGGAGGACGACGGCCCCUAACCCCUGAAUUAGCCUUCUAUUUCCAUUAGUGACUUAGAAGCUACCCGGCGCCUCAUCUGGGCUCACCUGAGCUGAGGAUCAGGAAGGGGAGGGGGCACAGUCAUUCCCUCGCGGACGCGGCGGGACCCCAGCGGACGGCUUUGUGCGGACUUUCGGCACCGUUAUGCCCCCCUAGCCCGACACCACCUGGGGCUGGCGCGCCACGUUACUGUUCAGGGCCAGACGCACCGCCCUGCCUGCUCCGGGGAGCCGGACCUCCGAUCCCGGGGAUGGGGGACCCCGAGACCUCAGACCCAACGGAGGGGACUCUGAUACCUCAGACCCCACGCGGGGACCCCGAGGCUUCAGACCCCCACAGGGUGACCCCGAGAUCUCAGACCCCCGCAGGAGUACCUCCAGACCUCAAAUCCCCAGUAAGGGAAUGAAAGAGACUUCGGAUCCCUGAGGCAGCAAAUCCCUGUAGGGGCAUCCCAGGACUCAGGUCACCGCGGGGUGAACCCAGACCUCACAUUCAGGCAAUCCCCAGGACGCCGAUCGGCUGGCACUACCCACUGUCCCGGCCACCCCCCCUGGAGCUCAAAGGCUUGGCCCUCCAGCUGCUCCACCCUGCCGGCAACCAGGCUCAAACCUGCAGCCCGCGGAUCCCCUGCCCCGGAAGCAACCAGAUUCGCGGGAGGUUACCUGACUGAUCCAAGGUGAUACAGCUGGUAACUGAUGGAGAUGUUGGUAGUGAAAUUCAUGUACUUUUAGUUCUUUCUAUGGAAUCUAGAGGUAGAAUACAUGUAAAAGAAUAUCGACUACCGUCUACUCAGGUCUCUGUUUUAUCUGUUUAUUCAUUCACUCUCAGCUUUUAAUAGGAUCCAAUGAGCCCUCUGUGGUUCUGAAGAAUUGCCUUGAGUAUAUGCAGCCUCAAAAAACCCACUUCCUAGGCUCAGUCUUUGAUCAAUAUUUAUCAUUAUCACCAGUUAUUGUUCUAAUAAACUCUACUCUGGAAAUAUGGUGUUAUGGUUUACUUGGGAGUGUGAGUUCAGGGCAUCAUUGAAGACUCACGUACUUUUACUGAGAAAGUGACAUUGAUCUCUGUAGAUUUUGAAUUAAAUGAUAUGAUGAAGUAUAUAAACCAAUUACUUUUGGUCAAGGUGGUAAAAAAAGUUUAGUAUUUGAUAGAUUCUUCAUCUCCACGAUCACAAAUAUUUUCUCCUAGGAUUUCUUCUAGAAAUAUUACUGCUUUAGGUUGUAUAUCAGGUCUAGGUUCUACUUUUUUUUUUUUUUUUCUCCAGGCAGUUUCUCACUCCGUUGCCCAGGCUGGAAUGCAGUGGUGUAAUCACAGCUCACUGCAGCCUCAACCUACUGGACUCAAAGGAUAAGAUCUGCUUUUAAUUAAUUUUUGUAUACGAUGGAGUCUUGCUCUGUUGCCAGGCUGGAGUGCAGUGGCAGGAUCUCAGCUCCCUACAAUCCCUGCCUCCCGGGUUCAAGCGAUUCCCCUGCCUCAGCCUGCUGAGUAGCUGGGACUACAGGCACACACCACCAUGGCUGGCUAGUUAUUGUAUUUUUAGUAGAGAUGAGGGUUCACCAUAUUGGCCAGGAUGGUCUCCAGCUCCUGACCUCGUGAUCUACCCGCCUCAGCCUCCGAAAGUGCUAGGAUUACAGGAUAAGCCACCAGGCCCAGACAUAUUUUUAAUUGACUAUUUAAGUAGACCUUGGUAAUAACUGCUUUUCUGUUUUUCACUGCAUACUAGCAGGCAAGGGCAAUUUUUUAGCCAGCCAAUACCGCAUUGAUUCUUGUAAGUCAGUGGCUAUUGCAAAAUUAACCCUUGUGGGUUAAAAAUAGAUUUAAAAUGUAAAGAUGAACAUGUAAUAU